GACGAACGCUUGCGGCGUGCUUAACACAUGCAAGUCGAACGGAAAGGCCCUGCUUUUGUGGGGUGCUCGAGUGGCGAACGGGUGAGUAACACGUGAGUAACCUGCCCUUGACUUUGGGAUGACUUCAGGAAACUGGGGCUAAUACCGGAUAGGAGCUCCUGCUGCAUGGUGGGGGUUGGAAAGUUUCGGCGGUUGGGGAUGGACUCGCGGCUUAUCAGCUUGUUGGUGGGGUAGUGGCUUACCAAGGCUUUGACGGGUAGCCGGCCUGAGAGGGUGACCGGCCACAUUGGGACUGAGAUACGGCCCAGACUCCUACGGGAGGCAGCAGUGGGGAAUAUUGCACAAUGGGCGGAAGCCUGAUGCAGCAACGCCGCGUGCGGGAUGACGGCCUUCGGGUUGUAAACCGCUUUCGCCUGUGACGAAGCGUGAGUGACGGUAAUGGGUAAAGAAGCACCGGCUAACUACGUGCCAGCAGCCGCGGUGAUACGUAGGGUGCGAGCGUUGUCCGGAUUUAUUGGGCGUAAAGGGCUCGUAGGUGGUUGAUCGCGUCGGAAGUGUAAUCUUGGGGCUUAACCCUGAGCGUGCUUUCGAUACGGGUUGACUUGAGGAAGGUAGGGGAGAAUGGAAUUCCUGGUGGAGCGGUGGAAUGCGCAGAUAUCAGGAGGAACACCAGUGGCGAAGGCGGUUCUCUGGGCCUUUCCUGACGCUGAGGAGCGAAAGCGUGGGGAGCGAACAGGCUUAGAUACCCUGGUAGUCCACGCUGUAAACGGUGGGUACUAGGUGUGGGGUCCAUUCCACGGGUUCCGUGCCGUAGCUAACGCUUUAAGUACCCCGCCUGGGGAGUACGGCCGCAAGGCUAAAACUCAAAGGAAUUGACGGGGCCCCGCACAAGCGGCGGAGCAUGCGGAUUAAUUCGAUGCAACGCGUAGAACCUUACCUGGGUUUGACAUGGAUCGGGAGUGCUCAGAGAUGGGUGUGCCUCUUUUGGGGUCGGUUCACAGGUGGUGCAUGGCUGUCGUCAGCUCGUGUCGUGAGAUGUUGGGUUAAGUCCCGCAACGAGCGCAACCCUUGUUCACUGUUGCCAGCACGUUAUGGUGGGGACUCAGUGGAGACCGCCGGGGUCAACUCGGAGGAAGGUGGGGAUGACGUCAAGUCAUCAUGCCCCUUAUGUCCAGGGCUUCACGCAUGCUACAAUGGCUGGUACAGAGAGUGGCGAGCCUGUGAGGGUGAGCGAAUCUCGGAAAGCCGGUCUCAGUUCGGAUUGGGGUCUGCAACUCGACCUCAUGAAGUCGGAGUCGCUAGUAAUCGCAGAUCAGCAACGCUGCGGUGAAUACGUUCCCGGGGCU
rnacentral:rRNA from 1 species